GCUUAAAGGUGCCGCUCGGUAACCGGCGCCGCGGGGGGAGCGUGGCGGCCGUCGGCAAGGACGGGGCUCCUCCGUGCCUUCCGUCAGCCGCCGCCGCCUCCCCCUUACCCGCCUUCUCCCGGCCGCUGCCGGCUUCCCUCAGGGAGAGGUACCGGCCCGGCGCUGCCUGGAAGCCGGCUGAAGGCAAAGCAAGGAGCGGCCCUCCGCUGCCAUCGCCCUCAGCAUGGUGUGUGUACUGGAGAUGCAGAAAUCAUGUAGCAGAAAGCUUUGAGCAGUUGUGGAUUAUCAGUUUCUCCCAACAGCAAUAAAAAGUGAAGAAUGAAGGCGGCUGGAUUUAUUUCCCUAUGGACGUUGGUUUCACUGCCUUGUGGCCAGUUAGUAAAUCCUGCAGAACACGAAGAUGUAGUGAAGCAUGCAAUAAAGCUGCACCGUGGGAAAGGAGCUGUUAUCACUCAGAGAAGGCAGUGGGUGUUGGAGAGCUGCAGAAAACUGUCUGGUCUUCUUCGCCAAAAGAACGUUGUUCUCAACAAACUAAAAAAUGCCAUAAGAGCAGUUGAGAAGGAUGCAGGGCUGUCAGACGAAGAGAAACUUUUUCAGGUGCAUACCUUUGAAAUUUUCCAAAAGGAGCUAAAUGAAAGUGAAAACUCAGUCUUUCAGGCAAUCCAUGGUCUCCAGAGAGCUCUACAGGGUGAUUACAAAGAUGUUGUAAAUAUGAAAGAAAGCAGCAGACAGAGACUGGAAGCCUUGAGAGAAGCUGCGAUUAAGGAAGAAAUGGAAUACGUCGAACUCUUAGCAGCAGAAAAACAUCAGGUCGAAGCCCUUAAGAACAUGCAGCAUCAAAACAAAAGCUUGUCAAUGCUUGAUGAAAUUCUAGAAGAUGUCAGGAAGGCAGCUGAUAGACUGGAAGAGGAAAUAGAAGAGCAUGCCUUUGAUGACAACAAAUCUGUAAGAGGUGUUAACUUCGAAGCGGUUUUAAGGGUGGAAGAAGAUGAAGCCAACUCCAAAAGAAAUGCUUCAAAAAGAGAAGUAGAGGACGACUUAGGUCUCAGUAUGCUUAUUGAUUCUCAGAACAAUCAGUAUAUCCUUACCAAGCCCAGAGAUUCGACCAUUCCUCGUGCUGAUCAUCAUUUCAUAAAGGAUAUUGUGACAAUAGGAAUGUUGUCUUUGCCAUGUGGCUGGCUGUGCACAACAAUAGGAUUGCCAACUAUGUUUGGGUAUAUAAUCUGUGGAGUACUCUUAGGACCAUCAGGACUAAAUAGUAUCAAGUCUAUUGUACAGGUGGAGACAUUAGGAGAGUUUGGUGUCUUCUUCACUCUCUUUCUAGUUGGUCUGGAAUUUUCUCCUGAAAGAUUAAGAAAGGUAUGGAAAAUAUCUUUGCAAGGACCUUGCUACAUGACAGUUCUGAUGAUUGCCUUUGGUUUGUUAUGGGGACACUUGCUCCAAAUUAGACCAACACAAAGUGUCUUCAUUUCCACUUGUUUAUCUUUAUCAAGCACACCAUUGGUGUCAAGGUUUCUUGCAGGUAGUGUUCGAGGUGAUAAAGAAGGGGAUAUUGACUACAGUAGCGUGCUGCUUGGCAUGUUGGUGAUGCAGGAUGUGCAGCUUGGAUUAUUUAUAGCUGUCAUGCCUACACUUAUUCAAGCAGGAGUGAGCACAUAUUCCAGCAUUUUCAAGGAAAUACUGCGAAUACUGAUACUGAUUGGCCAAAUUCUCUUUUCUCUGGCUGCUGUUUUUCUUCUAUGUCUUGUUAUAAAGACUUAUCUCAUAGGACCGUAUUAUCGCAAGUUGCAUGCAGAAAGCAAAGGGAAUAAAGAAAUCCUCAUUCUAGGAAUAACUGCAUUCAUCUUCCUUAUGUUAACGAUCACAGAGCUGUUGGAUGUUUCAAUGGAGCUGGGAUGCUUCUUAGCCGGAGCUCUGAUCUCUUCUCAGGGUCACAUGGUUUCUGAGGAGAUUAUGUCCUGUAUUGAACCAAUACGUGACUUCCUUGCCAUCAUUUUCUUUGCAUCCAUAGGACUUCAUGUUUUUCCCACAUUUGUAAUAUAUGAACUCACAGUCUUACUAUUCCUUACGUUGUCUGUCGUCAUAAUGAAGUUUGUCUUGGCAGUGCUUGUGCUUUCUCUGAUUCUUCCAAAGACGAGCCAGUAUAUCAAGUGGAUUGUCUCAGCAGGACUGGCACAAGUCAGUGAAUUCUCUUUUGUUCUGGGAAGUAGAGCACGCAGAGCAGGGAUCAUAUCUCGGGAGGUAAAUUAUGGCUGCAGAGAUACAAAAACUGACCUCACUUUCUAGCACUAGCUGCUUUCUCCUCUGUAUCUCUGCUCACAAAAACACUGUGCUGGCGCUGCGAGGUUUUCAUUGUGUGAGCAAGUGGGCUGCAUAAUGCUGGAACCAAUUCCAAAUGAAGCACGUGUGAAAAACUUACACAAUGCUGUUCACUUGUGUAGGUUUAUCUUCUUAUUCUGAGUGUGACUACUCUAAGCCUUUUACUUGCCCCUGCCCUGUGGAGAGCUGCGAUUAUGAAAUGUGUUCCGAGACCUGAAAGACGCUCAAGUACUUGAUUUAGACUUGCACAUGCACAGAAUACAUCUUCUUACAAGGAAUAUCUUCGUUGCUCAUUGUAUUUCUAUGCACUCAGAGAACAAGAGGUUUUGAGUAGUCAGUCCUCUUAACGUGCACUCGGUUAUAAGCCUUAUACUGACCCUAAAAAAUAAUUCUGUAAUUUGAAUUGCACACCUUUCACAAAAUUUACUUUCUCUCUGACAGAUUAGAAUCUGCCAGAGUAUUUGUUUGUGAUCAAAUCAAUUACUCAGAGCGUAAGUUAUUUCUUUUUCAAUUAUAGCAUCAUGCAAACUGUGUUGAUUAUUUGUUGCCUGAAUGUGCCUUUUAAUUUUCAUCCUAUUUUGUUACUGCUGGUUCAUCACCAGAUUUUGUUUAAAAAGCAAAAAAUAUUAUGGUGCCUAUGGUAUCUUCUUUCACUAAAUGACAUGAGUCAUUUUCACAUUUAGGGGUUGAAUAUACUAAUAUAAAAUUAAUCACAAAACACAUUUCUAACAGUGAGUACAAGUGUAGUCCUCUACACAAAGAAGAGGUUUAACUGUUUAGCAUCAAACUGGUUUAAGCAGUCAAAUCCAUAUUUCAAAUGAUGCAGCCAAUAUUGUAUGAUAUUUUAUUCCAAAUUAUAGCAUAUGAUGUAUUUUCUUAUAGUGAUAACUUUUAUUUGUGUUAGUUCUUGUAUUUAUUUACAUACUUGACUAAAAGUUGAUGGUAAGAAAAGGGCGUAACUUAAAUUAUAUUUAAAGACUGACAGUUGUCACCCAUUCUUUUGCUAACUGCUUUUACAGUAAUUGUUUACAAGGUUUGUUUAUUUUAAAUCAAGACUAAAUCUAGUAAAACUGGGAAGUCUAAUUCCAAGCAGAUGUGAAAAACAUAUCAGUUCUGUAACUUUGGACUGACACCAUGCCAGAUUUGAAAUUAUUCUGAGUAAAUUAAUUUGUACAAAACUGGAAAUGGCAGACUUGGAUGUGUAUUUGGAACUCCACAACUUUAUACUUUGGAUUUGCAUUGAAUAAAUUGUUAGUCUCUUUAAAAUAUCAUGUUAUUUUGAAAAACAGUGUUUUGAAUGUGAUCCUAAAUGUGUUUUGCUCUUUAAAAUGUUCUGUGUAGCAGGAUAAGCCUUGUAAAAACCCAUUCUUUUAAGUGUCGUAGAGAAAGCUUGCUCAUAGACUGUAGUCUACUCUGACAAACAAUUUAAAAAUCAUCUUGAGGUUUAUCUGCUAAAAACAAUACUAUUAAAGAUAUAUUAACACUUUAGGUCAGUAUCAUACUGUUAUCUGAAAUAACUUUGGUACCCACAAAAAUGGUUAGAAAAAUGCAUGUUAAACAGGUUUAAAUUGCCAAUUAAAAUGAAAGCUGUCCUCCAAGUAGCAAAA